rnacentral:rRNA from 1 species
CCUACGGGUGACAGCAGUAGGGAAUAUUGCUCAAUGGGGGAAACCCUGAAGCAGCAACGCCGCGUGGAGGAUGAAGGUUUUCGGAUUGUAAACUCCUUUUGUUAGAGAAGAUAAUGACGGUAUCUAACGAAUAAGCACCGGCUAACUCCGUUCCAGCAGCCGCGGUAAUACGGAGGGUGCAAGCGUUACUCGGAAUCACUGGGCGUAAAGAGCGCGUAGGCGGGUUAGCAAGUCAGAUGUGAAAUCCUAUGGCUUAACCCUAAAACUGCAUUUGAAACUGUUAUUCUAGAGUAUGGGAGAGGUAGGUGGAAUUCUUGGUGUAGCGGUGAAAUGCGUAGAGAUCAAGAGGAAUACUCAUUGCGAAGGCGGCCUGCUAGAACGUAACUGACGCUGAUGCGCGAAAGCGUGGGGAGCAAACAGGAUUAGAUACCCCUGUAGUC